CGGCGCGCAGGCCGGCGGUGUCGCGCCCCUUGCGGGGGCGCCCCUGCCCGGGACCCGGGCGGGUGCGGGUUUCCUGUCGCGCCGGC
rnacentral:tRNA from 1 species